CUUUAGACACUUGGUUAAGGAGGGAAAGGCAGGAGCAUUGUACUUCUGCAAAGUGGAGGGGAUCAGGAUUUGAAGGAAGUCUCCUCUUUUUCCUUUACAGUAUUUCUGCAUAGUAUCAGCCGGGCCCAGAUGCAAGGCAUGAGGGUUCCCUUCGAGAAGAGUCUUAUCAAUCCUGGCUAAGGAUUGAAAGGCAGGAGUACUGUCUUUCUGCCAAGGGGAAGGGGAGGCCAAGCUUUCAGAGAAAGUCUCCCAAUAAUCACUUUGUUCUUCUCUUUCUUUCACAGUGCACCGUGACCAAGAGACCAGAAGAAGAAGGGAGCAUGGACACACUUUGGAGCCAGCAGUCCCAGGAAGAGAAUGCAACAACAGACAUCAAGAUCGUGUACUUGGAAGACAGUGAAGAACCUGGGAUUACUAGCUCCAUAGUCUGUCCAUAGCUCCACCCAGGAUUCAUAGGACUUCUCUGGAAUGGGAUCCUCGCUCCUUGCCUGCCGGAUUGGCUGCGGUGCUGAUACCAUCCAGAAACGCUAUAUCAGCUGAGUGUCCUCUCCUUGGAGAGAAAAAGGCUUGUUUUAUAUUGUGUGUGAUUUGUAUGGCUUAUUUUAAAAUAAAAAUAUAUAAAGAAGUACUAUAAUACUCCUGCC
rnacentral:lncRNA from 11 species